ensembl:lncRNA
CAGUAUGUGGGAUCUUAGUUUCUAGACCAGGGGUUGAACCCAGGACUGCUGCAGUAGAAGCACAGAGUCUUAACCACUGGGCCAUCAGACUCUGUGAAGAUCCUGGAAGAGGAGUCAGUGAGAGAAGACUUGGUGUGGAAGAUGGGACAUGUGUUAGUCUUGGGAUGGAAUGGGACAGAUUUAUGAAUGGGGAACUCUAUGCCAGGGGAGGAAAUGCCAAGAGUCGGGGUAGAGACAAAGGAAUAAGCAGAACAUCUUCAUGAAGAGUCAACUGGGCUGGGAUGGAAGAGGAUAUGGGGUGGCAGGAAAGGAGGCUGGAUAUUAUAGUUCCUAAUAACCAAACAAGAGGAUUGUAAGUGUGCCACCACGGGAAAUGGGGAGCCAUAGAGAGUCUGAGCAAAGAAGUGACAUGAAUGAAGUUCUAGGAGAUGAUCGGCUUGUCUGGCAUUGCAAGACAAGUUGGAGGACACUUAGACUAGAAUUAGGAAAACUAGCCAUUACAACUAUUUUGGAACUUCCUUGGUGGCCCAGACAGUAAAGCUUCUGUCUACAAUGUGGGAGACCCGGCUUCAAUUCCUGGGUGGGGAAGAUCCCCUGGAGAAGGAAAUGGCAACCCAUUCCAGUAUUCUUGCCUGGAAAAUCCUAUGGAUGGAGGAGCCUGGUGGGCUACAGUCCAUGGGGUCGCAAAGAGUUGGACAUGACUGAGCGACUUCACUUUCACAACUAUAUUGUAAGAUAUGAGUAAGAAAUGUCAAGAACCAGGGUGUACCAGUUCAAGUGGAAAGGAAGCUACAAGUGUGGUAGACAUUUGAAAGGAAAAUAUUGACCACAUGCCAUCUGCUCAUAUUGGCCUAAGUAGUCCUUCUUCAUUCCUCAAAGUGUGAAAACAUCAGAUAGCUUUGCUGAUGAAAUAUUGUGUCAUGUAAAUGUCUAUAUAUCAGUAUUUGUAGGUUUCUCAUGAUUUACUUAAUUUUCCAAAUAUUUAAUUGCUUCAGAUAAGGGUUAAAACAUUAGAUGCACUUCGUAGGGUGGAAUUAUUCAGAAUAGUUUCUGGUUUUCAAAAAACAUCUCAAAAAACCUUUGAAAUCUUUCAAUACUCUGAAUUUCACAACAGAUGGUGUAUUAUUCAGACUCUUUCAGAUUACAAGAAA